UCUCUCUCUCUCACCUUCUCCAUCUCUCUCAUUCACCUCCCUCUCUUUCCGAUGCAUCUCCGCCAUAUCUUCUAUCUCCCUCACAUCAUCAUCUUGCUUGGACCUCCAUUGCAACAGCCAUGAAGCUCCUACAUAGAUUUCAUGCAUACUAACUGUUUGGUGAAAUGGCUCAACAAAGAAGGUUUUGGUGGCAAAUUGCUGUGUAGCUAAAUUUUCAUAUAAAAUCCAAGGAUCGUCAGUAUUUUCUUUACUUUUAGUUGACCAUUUAUUUCAUUUGUUUGAUGUAAAUGUGAAAGGCUAUUUCUAAGUCGAUAUCUCCAAGUCUAUGCUCUACUAAUUUUAGUUCUACAAAUUUUUUUGGGCAUUUGAAGCAGGAAACAAUCACAAAAUCUGCCACUCAGAGUGUGUUAGAACAACAUGGAAAGUUCUUCUACUUUAACAUCUGCAGUUGUCUCCACUGAAGGUGCAACAAAAAUCAAUUUUUCUGGUUCUGUUGCCACUACAGGUGAAGUUCUUGUUUUAAUUUCUUUUUAAAGGCACUCUUGGAUCUCUUCUGACAUUGCUUACUCUCGCAAGCAUGCUUCCAACCAUUAUAAGAAAUUAGAGGUAUCUUUAUUUCAUACCUUUGGGCACAUGAUUGAAUUACAGGUAUUUUUGUUUCAUACUUUUCGGCACAUGAUUGAAUCAGAGGUAUCUUUGUUUCAUGCAUUUGCAAUAUGAGUUCUUUGCCCUAUCACGUUGUCUUUAAUUUUAUUUUAUUAUUUUUUUAUGCAUGACUUAGUUUUUGAGAAUUCUGCAUGCCAAUUGAAUUGGAUCGUAGCUAAACCUUAGCUCAAGUAAUGUUAGGGUGGAGCAUAGGCUAGGCUUCUUGUAGUGAAUAUCUUGUAGCUAUAUAACUUAUAUUUGCAUUGGUGAGAAACUAUUCGUGGACCUGCAGAUCUUGGACAUGUCGACCGUUUAUUCAUUAUAAUAUUUGACAGUUUCAAUGGGAAAUGCCAGAAGGAACUCAAGACAAUUGGGAGGCAAUAUCCGUUUAAACCUUUGAAGCUCAAUUUUCUUUGCCAUUAUGAGUUUCGAAAUGUUGAAUUUGGUCUAUAUGCUUGUUGUCUCCAUUG